GACGAACGCUGGCGGCGUGCCUAAUACAUGCAAGUUGAGCGAUGAAGAUUGGUGCUUGCACCAAUUUGAAGAGCAGCGAACGGGUGAGUAACGCGUGGGGAAUCUGCCUUUGAGCGGGGGACAACAUUUGGAAACGAAUGCUAAUACCGCAUAACAACUUUAAACAUAAGUUUUAAGUUUGAAAGAUGCAAUUGCAUCACUCAAAGAUGAUCCCGCGUUGUAUUAGCUAGUUGGUGAGGUAAAGGCUCACCAAGGCGAUGAUACAUAGCCGACCUGAGAGGGUGAUCGGCCACAUUGGGACUGAGACACGGCCCAAACUCCUACGGGAGGCAGCAGUAGGGAAUCUUCGGCAAUGGACGAAAGUCUGACCGAGCAACGCCGCGUGAGGGAAGAAGGUUUUCGGAUCGUAAAACUCUGUUGGUAGAGAAGAACGUUGGUGAGAGUGGAAAGCUCAUCAAGUGACGGUAACUACCCAGAAAGGGACGGCUAACUACGUG
rnacentral:rRNA from 1 species